UACGUAGGGUGCGAGCGUUGUCCGGAAUUAUUGGGCGUAAAGAGCUUGUAGGCGGUUUGUCGCGUCUGCCGUGAAAAUCCGGGGCUCAACCCCGGACUUGCGGUGGGUACGGGCAGACUAGAGUGUGGUAGGGGAGACUGGAAUUCCUGGUGUAGCGGUGAAAUGCGCAGAUAUCAGGAGGAACACCCAUGGCGAAGGCAGCAAACUGGGCAUCAACUGACGCUGAGGCGCGAAAGCGUGGGUAGCAAACAGG
rnacentral:rRNA from 1 species